rnacentral:lncRNA from 1 species
AAUCCAUAAGUGAGCAGACUACACAAAAAUGUUUGUCAUGUAGCUAACGCCUAACAAUGCUUGAAUUUCUGCAGCUUCAAAGUUCAAACAAUAGCUUAAUCCAUAAGUGAGUAGAUCCCUGUAAAAAAUAUGCAUAUACCAAAUUUCAGCAUUAGGCAACGAAGUAGAGACUGUGAUAAAUACUACUGUUAACUAGUAUGCAUACACCUAAAGCCCAUUAACAACUCCGAAUUUUUUUUUUAAAAAACUAAUCUCAAUUAACUAAUAUUUAAUAAGACUCCAACGGUCUAAACUUAAUUGAAAUGGGCAGCCAUCCCUUUGGUUCGUUAACAAAAUCAUAUAUAAGUCUAAUGAGCAAUUUAUUAAGAAAAACAAUCACAUAAAUGGAGAUGGAACAUCAGAAACAAAUUCAUUCAUGAUUUCAGCCAUUUUUAUGGAGAAAUAGUACAGAUUCAGGAAUGUGUACCUAAAAUACUUGACAAAUAGAGUUUGAAACAGCUGAUAAAGGACAGAAAUGGAGAUGAAGGAAGCUCAGCUACGAUUUUGAUAGCAAACAGCAGAAGAAUAGCAAUGUCGACCUCAACUUCAAUCCAAAAACAAAUGAGAAACCCAUAAAUUCUCCAAGUAACACAACAGAAAUUAGAAAACCUUUCCAAGUCUUCAUCAAAGCUCACACGCUAAGUUUGGAACCCUUACCCUUUCCUGCGAAAACCAAAGCAUCAAAGACAUCGGCCACCUAGUAAAAAACCGACAGUCGAUGAAGAAAAAUGCUUCAAUUAUGGACAUCCCAGUGGGGCGACGGGCGCGGGAGGAAGAAACCUAAGAGAAGACGUCAGGGAAGGCUAAGACGGCGCCUCGCAUAUGGGUAGCAAGAGGGCGCUUAUGCCCCGACGGUGGGGCCGCUAUUAAAAAAGUGAUGUGAUUCCCGGGUGGGGAUCACGAACGAGAUAUAGCACUAGACCUAAAGGAAGUCCUCUAACUAAUCUAAUCCACCGAAGGUUUUCGUUUUUCUUCUUCAGAUCAUGAUCUAGAAAAAUGA